rnacentral:rRNA from 1 species
UAUCUAAUUAUUAUAGCGAGUAAAAUUGAUCUCUUUUCGAACUCAAAAACAUAUACUUUGCGCUUAUGGUAACAUUUUAAUGUGAGAGUAAGAAAUAAUUAGAUAA